UUAAUCAAAGCCAAAAAGAGGCAAACCACUGUUAAUGGUAGAAGUGAAGUUUUCUUCUGAUU
rnacentral:tRNA from 1 species